rnacentral:rRNA from 1 species
GAUGAACGCUGGCGGCGUGCCUAAUACAUGCAAGUCGAGCGAAAGGACGAUAAGCUCGUUUCCUUGAGGUUAGCGGCGGACGGGCGAGUAAGACGUGGAUAACAUACUUAUAUGACUGGGAUAAUUACGGGAAAACGGUGCCACUACCAGCUGAUAUUUUCUACCGCAGGGUUCAAAAGAGAAUGACGGUUUUCGUGUCAGUAAUAGCUGGUUCCGCGCUGCAUUAGCUAGUUGGUAAGGUAACGGCUUACCAAGGCAACGAUGCAUAGCCGACCUGAGAGGGUGAUCGGCCACACUGGAACUGAGACACGGUCCAGACUCCUACGGGAGGCAGCAGUAGGGAAUCUUCCGCAAUGGGCGAAAGCCUGACGGAGCAACGCCGCGUGAGUGAUGAAGGUCUUCGGAUCGUAAAACUCUGUUAUUAGGAAAGAACAGAUGUGUAAGUAACUGUGCACAUCUUGACGGUACCUAAUCAGAAAGCCACGGCUAACUACGUG